rnacentral:ncRNA from 1 species
AUCUUCGGGGCAGGGUGAAAUUCCCUACCGGCGGUCAAAGCCCGCAAGCCUUUUUUGGUUGAUUCGGUGAAAUUCCGAAGCCGACGGUAAAGUCCGGAUGAGAGAAGAGA